AUUGAACGCUGGCGGCAUGCUUUACACAUGCAAGUCGAACGGUAACAGGCCGCAAGGUGCUGACGAGUGGCGAACGGGUGAGUAAUGCAUCGGAACGUGCCCAGUCGUGGGGGAUAACGCAGCGAAAGCUGUGCUAAUACCGCAUACGAUCUAUGGAUGAAAGCGGGGGACCGUAAGGCCUCGCGCGCUUGGAGCGGCCGAUGUCGGAUUAGGUAGUUGGUGGGGUAAAGGCCUACCAAGCCGACGAUCUGUAGCUGGUCUGAGAGGACGACCAGCCACACUGGGACUGAGACACGGCCCAGACUCCUACGGGAGGCAGCAGUGGGGAAUUUGGGACAAUGGGCGCAAGCCUGAUCCAGCAAUGCCGCGUGCAGGAAGAAGGCCUUCGGGUUGUAAACUGCUUUUGUACGGAACGAAACGGUCUGGGUUAAUACCCUGGGCUAAUGACGGUACCGUAAGAAUAAGCACCGGCUAACUACGUGCCAGCCGCCGCCGUAA
rnacentral:rRNA from 1 species